rnacentral:tRNA from 1 species
GGGUGAUAGCAUAGUGGUUAUGCAAAAGACUGUAACAUGGGAGGCUCUUGAGGACUCAGAUUCAACCCCUGACAUCACCCA